GAUGAACGCUAGCUACAGGCUUAACACAUGCAAGUCGAGGGAACGGAGCACGGGAGAGUAACACGUAUCCAACCUGCCCUUUACUCGGGGAAAGGCUUUCGAAAGAAAGAUUAAUACCCGAUAUAAAGGAUGGGGAUGCGUUCCAUUAGGGUGUUGGUAAGGUAACGGCACACCAAGCCUUCGAUGGAUAGGGGUUCGGAGAGGAAGGUCCCGCACGACGGAACUGCGACACGGUCAAAACCGCUACGUGACGCAGGAGUGAGGAAGGUAUGCAAAGGGGCUUUAGCCUGGACCCGCCAAGUAGCGUGAAGGAUGAAGGCUUCUGGGUCGUAAACUGUUUUUAUAUAAGAAGAUGUAUUAUAUGAAUAAGGAUCGGCUAACUCCGUGCCAGCCGCCGCGGUAAUAC
rnacentral:rRNA from 1 species